UAAGGAAUAUUGGUCAAUGGACGCAAGUCUGAACCAGCCAUGCCGCGUGAAGGAUGAAGGUCCUCUGGAUUGUAAACUUCUUUUAUCUGGGACGAAAACGGGAUUUUUAUCUCAAUUGACGGUACCAGAGGAAUAAGCAUCGGCUAACUUCGUGCCAGCAGCCGCGGUAAUACGAAGGAUGCAAGCGUUAUCCGGAAUUAUUGGGUUUAAAGGGUGCGUAGGCGGACUAAUAAGUCAGUGGUGAAAGCCUGCAGCUUAACUGCAGAAGUGCCAUUGAUACUGUUAGUCUUGAGUACAGUUGAGGUAGGCGGAAUGUGUCAUGUAGCGGUGAAAUGCGUAGAUAGGACGCAGAACACCGAUUGCGAAGGCAGCUUGCUAAGCUGUAACUGACGCUGAGGCACGUAAGCGUGGGGAGCAAACA
rnacentral:rRNA from 1 species